ensembl:lncRNA
GGGCGCCCGGCUCUGCUCCGCGGCCGCACCCCGCGGGCUAUGGGUGCUGUGCCCCCCGCACCGCCAUCACGAGGAGCCGACCGAAUCAGAUCCCAGCGCGGCUCUCCGCCUUGUUUUUGGCUGGGCGGCUUGCCGUGGCGACCUGAUGAUGACGGGAAGGGGGUGCCUGGCGUUGCGAGAGCGCGUGGCUGGGGACCUGAUGGCCUUUAAGGGUCCCUUCCAACUCAAACUGUUCUGUGAUCCUAUGAAGAAGCGACUCGGGAGAAGCCGGAGGAGGAGAUGGAACAUCCCUCUGAAGGAAAAGAUGUGGCUGCUGUGCUGGGUGCCGUGUGCCAGUGCUGCCCAGCAAAUGUUAAGCGCUCAGACUCCUACAGGAAGGGAAGCCCCGCAACACUUGGAUCCACAGCCCCACUGCUGCCAUCAGAGAGAGCAUUAUUCCAUCCGGGUGCUGCCAGCUGCAAGCAAAUAGACCGCCUUCAGCAUGCAAAUAAUGGACCCACUGUAGGAGCGGGGAGACAGAUGAGGUCUUUAUUCCUGCUCCCAGGCACUGCGUUGCUGAGACCUCUGUCUGUCUGACUGUCUAUCUGUCCGUCCCCCCAGGAACGCUCCGGUGUUUCCUCCUCUGACUCCCAUUGCAAAUCCUGUGGGGUGAGAGGGGGAAACUGAGGCAGGGAGGCAAUGGGAAGUGCGUGUGGGAUGCAUGGCCCCCUGCACCAAAGUCAAACUUCAGGGCAGGUUCAGAAAUGCUGAUCUGAGGGUGCUGAGGGCAGGGACAGGACCCCCAGGCCUUUUCUUUUUGUAGGUCAGUGCCAUGGCUGUUUUCAAGUCAAGGCUGAAUUCACUGGGAUUCAGCUGCCCCAGUCCCUCCUAGUCUGACCAGUUCCUUAAGGCCAGUGCCAAAGUGCAAGCAUCUGGAGUCUCUCAUUGACCUCCUGUGCCACUUAAGUAACUAGUCCUAAUACUGGGGCUUGGAACGAGGUGAUCCGUAAGGUCCCUUCCAACUCAGCUAUUCUGUGAUUCCACGAUUCUAUGAUUUCCUGAAACCUGACGUAACUCAGUUGCAUAAUAGAAUACCCAGGCAUAAUUCAUGCCUUUCCCAUCCUGAUGAAAAUCUGUGAUGACAUCUUUGUAUUAAAGAGGCCAUAGAAAUGCAAAGCGUGAUGACACAGGUGAG